CUUAUAUAAUGCUUUAAGAUUUUCAAAGCACUUUUCAUAUGUUAUCUCAUUAGCAGACCUGAAAGUUGGGUGCGAUUACUGAUCUUCCCAUUUUACAACUAUAGAAACUGAGGCUGUGAGAGUGAUUUGCCUAGGGUCACACAGCUAGGUUAUGUUUGAGGCAGACUCUGAACUCAGAAGUCUUUUUGACUUCCAUAUCUAGCAUUUUAUUAUAUCAUCUAUGUGUUUCUGAUUAUUUGGUCUAGUCUUUCUUUGCACAUAGAUUUUUUUCUGUAAAGUGGUCACUUAGAUUGAGUUUAAAGUCAAUGUUUCCUCCAAGGUCCUUUGCUGAUGCUGGGAUUCUCUGUAUCCUACCCAUUCCUAAAUAAGAUUGCCCUCUCUAAAAUGAUGACAGGUGAUCAGUUACUCUUCUACUGCAAAUAUAAAAAAGAAUCAAUGUAUUUUUUUCUAGUUAUCUCUAGGACAUCCUCACUCCCAUUCAAUAAUUUCCAGCAACAUCCUAUAGACCAUUUCCCAGGAUCUUUGACAUCACCAAUGGCCCUGCCUACCAUGGUUCUUUUCCUUGAAAAGAAAUAAAAUUCUCUUCAUUCUCAGCCCUUCCUUAUUUGUCAAGCGUAGGGCUUCCAGUUCCCUAAGCUGAUUGGAUUUCCCAGUUGAACCAGAAGAAAGUUCAGUGGAUAUUGGAGAGACAAGUUUCCAGUCCAGAAUUUCACCUUUAUUCCCUCUUCUUCCCAUACCCAUGGACAUCUCCUCUGCAAACCAGUAGAAUGGAGAUGGGGAGAGUAGGGCAGAAACCAAGGAGUCCAUUCCAAAGCUGAGAAUUUCCUGUGAUUUCCAUUUGAAAGAACUUGGGAGAUGUGGUACCAAGGGAAAGAAGAAUCAAGACAACUGGGAGAGUCAUUCUAGACAAUUAAAGAUUACCUUCAGGCAAACUCCCUGUGAAGGGAAAGCUGCUAACUGUAAUAAUUUUGAUCAAAGAUUUGGGCAAGAGUUAACAGUUUUUGUACAAAAGAAAGUUCUUAAAAGAAAAGCCUCACAGGGAAUGUGAUACAACUGAAAAUGACUUCAGACGAUAUUCAGGUUUAAUUCAGUGCAAGAAAAUCACCUCAGAGACGUGGAAUUCUAAAUAUGAUGAAUUUGAGGAACACUUUAAAACCCAGUUAGAGCUUAUUCAACAUCAUGGAAAACAUAUUGGAGUGAAAACUCAAUCAGAGACAGCCUUCAGUUUUACCUUAGACCACGCAAGACAACAACAAAUUACUAUUAGGAAAAUACCUUAUAAAUAUAACAACGUGGAGACUUCCUGGCCAAAACACAAACCUUAAUUACCAUUGGAACAUUCAUACUGAUGAGAAGCCCUACCAAAUGUAAUGAUUGUGAGAAGGUCUUCAACCAGAAGUCCCAUCUUAUUGUACAUCAGAGAAUUCAUCUGGAGAGAAGUCCUAUAAUUUCAAUGAAUGUAGUAAAGUCUUAUUGUACAUCACAGAAUUCACACUGGAGAGAAACCUCAUAGGUGUCAUGAGUGUGGAAAGGCUUUCAGAAUAAGGUCUACUCUUGUUGUGCAUCAGAAAACUCAGUGAAGAAAUGCCUUAUAAAUGUAUGAAUGUGGGAAGACUUUUAGCUAUAGUAAUGAGCUUCUUAGACAUCAGCAUGAUCAUACUGGAGAGAAGCCCUGUAAAUGUAAUCAAUGUGGGAAGACCUUCAGCCAGAGCUCAACCCUUCUCAAACAUCAGAAAAUUCAAACUGGAGAGAAACCUCAUGAGUGUCAUGACUGUGGUAAGGCUUUCAGAGGACACUCAUCCCUUAUUUACCAUCAGAGAAUUCAUACUGGAGAGAGACCUUAUGAAUGUCAUCAGUGUGGAAAAGCUUUCAGAACGAGGUCUAAUCUUGCUGUCCAUCAAAGAAUUGAUACUGGAGAGAAACCCUAUAAAUGUAAUGAACAUGGAAAGGCAUUUAGCCAGAGCUCCAAUCUUGCUGUGCAUCAGAAAAGUCAUUCUGUAGUGAAAUCUAAGGAUCUAGCUAAUAUAUAUUUUAUUCUGUAGUGAAAUCUAAGGAUCACUUUCCUUCAAAAUGGUUGGACCAUUUCACUUCUCUACAAAAAUUGUAUUUGUGUGUCCAUUUUUAUUCAGUAUCUCCAAUACUGAGGGGUAGCUGAGUGGUGCAGUGGAGAGAACUCUGGGCUCAAAGUCAGGAAUAAAUCUUUAAGAAUUCAAAUCUGGUCUUAUACACUUACUAUAUGAUCCUGGGCAAAUAAUCCUGUUCCUCAUCUGUAAAAUAAGCUGGAGAAAGACAUGGCAAAUUACUCCACUAUCUUUGUCAAGAAAAUUCCAAAGUGGGGUUAACGAGUGUCAGCUACAAUUGAAUAAGAACUGUAAUAUUGAUGAUUUCCUUUGGGGGGAAUUUUUGACCGUUUGCAAAAUUUGAGGUGAAAUCUCAGAACUAUUUUGAUAUUCAUUUUUUGAAAUUCCUUUGCAAACUGUUUCCUUUGAUAACUUAUCUAUUGUGCAGUAGCUCUUGCCAUUAUAUCUUGGUGUCGGUUCUCUUGGUUGUUAGUAUUUUAUUGAUAAUAUUUGUUACAAAUACUUUUUCCCACUCUAUAGUUUCUUCCUCAUGUCUUCACUAGUUAUAUUUACACAGAUCUUUUAAAUCUUAUAUAAUUAAAAUUAUCAUUAUUUUUUAAAAAGUCAUCUGUCCUUUGUUCAGAGUGAAUAGUAAACUUUUUUUUUUCUUCCAAAUACUUUUGAUGUCUCUUUGGUGGUCAGAUCAGUUUACUGUUGUUAAAAGUUCAAGAUGUGAGACUACAUUGCUUUCCAAUAUUCUCAGCAGCAAUUGUUAAAAACAAAAAGAAGUCUUUUGGUAAUUUAUAAACUUGAGUUUAUCAAACAGCAGAAUUUUAUUUUCACAUGCUUCUCCAUCUUGCUCGACUUGUCUGUUUUAAAGAUUUUUAUAUGAACUUAUGCUGAAUAAAAUAAACAAAAUCACGAGAACAGCAUGCACAAUAAUUACAAUGAUGUUUAAGAGGGCUAGACAGAGAUUUGGAUGCAGUACCUUCUAUGAAAAACACAAAAGAAAAUAACAUUCACUGCCCCCAAAUAAAAACCCCAACAAACAAACAAGAUGAGAGACAAGGAAGAAUUUGUAAUGCUGGCAUUGCAUCAAAGUAGCUUAAGAAAAAUAUGAUAGGUUUAAAAAAAUAUUGUAAAAGUCAAAGGGGAAAAUAAUUUAAAAUAAUAUUUGAGGCAAAAAUUAAGGAAAGUGCAAACCUAAGUCUCAUGACUUUGAAUGUGACUAUAUUAAAUAAUUCAAUAAAGUAAGAAUGGCAGAAUGGAGAUCAACACUUCAUUAUCUGUUGCUUAUUUGAAACAUGUCUGAAAAGCAAAGGCACACAGAGAAUCAAAAUU